GCCCAGAUAGCUCAGUUGGUAGAGCAACGGACUGAAAAUCCGUGUGUCGCUGGUUCGACUCCGGCUCUGGGCA
rnacentral:tRNA from 1 species